CAGUGUGUGUUUGUGUGUUGGUGCAGCACGGGGCUGGGGGUUCAGGGUACAAAGAGGAUGCCACUGCAGGAGGAGCACCCACUUUCUCCUUCAGCCAUUAGGAGCAGAUGCUGUCUGCGCCAGCUCAUGACGUUGGCCAUGUUUUUAGUUGUAUCAUAGAAUUAAAAAUUAAUCGUGCCCUCACUCUCCUUCAGGCCCUGCCCACCAGGGUUGCCCUACCUGCCCCGUGUCUCAGUGCUUUCUUCCUCCAGGUUUUUAUUUGCUCUGCAACUGUGAACUGCUCCAACGAUAGUGUGGUGGAACAGAAGGAGCAGAUCAGUGUCCCAGGACAGUCUUCUCUAGGUGCUUCUGGUUGUGAUGGAUCCAGGACUGCUCUCACUUCACACCCCAAAUCCUCCUGCUAUUACUGCUGAAAAUAAUCCUGCCAGUCCAAAGGUUGUUGAUCGUAGGGGUGUGAGAAUUGCACCUGAGUGCUGUUAGUGCCCAGGUCAGUACCUGGAAAUGCAGAGGAUAGGGACACUCACCUGCCUCUUUCCAGCCCAGGACUGCUCAGUGUCACAGCCAGCAGUGUCCUGUGCCCUGUCCCUGCUGCCUGUGGCUGGGUAUUCUGUCAUCCCUCCCACAUGCAUGGGCUCCAGGCUUGGCACUGCAGCUUUUGAGACAUGAAGUUGAGAAGCAGGACGCUCAUUUUAGCACUGUGGCAAUCGUGUUUUCCGCCAGUGCAUCCUCUUCCUCCAUGCUGUGUCUGCAGUGGCUGAGGAUGGCCAUGACAGAGAGGGAACACACUCAUCCUGGUGACCAGAGCAGUAGGAUGACCAUGGCUCUUGGGACAGGCAGAAGAGGAGGCUGCCAGGUAGUAACUCACAGUAAGAUUCAGUUUUGGAUGCUCUGUUUCAGCCUUUGGAAGAGCCUGUCUCACUCCCUCCCCACAAAGUCCAUUCUCCCCUUGUUUUCACUUAAAAUUAGAGGGGAUGAUGACCUCAAUUUGGUUAACAUGUUCAGCUGUUCCCACCAUGCCAGCAGGUCCUGGUGCUGCUGGGAUUUGGGUCACAGUGCCCAGGGAACAUGCUUUGGACCUGCAGCCCCUCCUUACAGUGACUGGCUGCAGCUCCACAGGGCAGCACUGGCUCACGCCUGCUCUCCAGGCACCAUGAAGCAGCCAGGGAGGGUUAGUCCAGGGGGAGCAUUGCAUAGAGGGAGCCUCAUCCUCCACAUUAGUGCUUAGGGCACAUUCUUAGUUUGGUUCCUCUGGGCCAAGCUGCAGCAAGGCAUCACCCUGACGGGUUGAAGGGUGCAGGGUUACAUCUCAAUCCACUGCACAAUGCACGUUCAGGCCAUAGUGCAGCACCACUUCAUUAGUGCCUCAAGUGGCUUGAAAACACUGAGCAUUUCUGUCUCCCCUUUGUCUGGACUCAAGAAGGAGCCCAGAUUCCCUCCAGAUGCCCAGGAUGGCCACAGCAUGAACCCAAAUUUCUAGAACUGCGAAGAGAGCAGAGAGGUUCCUGGUGCAGAAGCUGCUUGGAACAGCUGUGCUGGACAGCCUGGGGAAGAAACACAAACCUUUAUGACUUUAUUUAAUAAGUUAUUUAUAUAUUAUUUGCUUGGUAACUGAAAUACCACUUUUGGUCUCUGACACCCACCAAACUGGCUGAAGUGGGGCUGGGAGCCCCACCCUCCUGCAGCCUCUCCUCCCUCAGAAACCCCAUGGAGGUUUCCACUGGGGGGAAGGGGGAGAGUGUGCAAAAAAAAAGUGUAUUUAUUUCCCUUUAAUUCCCAGACUGAUGCAAACUGACAGGCAGGGGGGCAUCCUCCUAGUGCGGGGGCCUGUUCUGCACCCCUGCUCUGGGCUGUGGCCGUGUGGGCAGUGCCUGUGGGCUCCCUGGGGCUGAGCACCGUGCAUGUGGGUGGGCAGCAGCUCCUGUGAGCUCGAGGUCACAAGGCACAGAGGAGCCUGAAUGCAUCAGUCUCCUCUGUGGCCUCUGCAGCAGGGGGGAUGUUACACCAUGGGGGAGGGAGUGGUGGCAGCAGCUGGGGAUCGUGUGCUGGGCAUGGUGUGGAGCUGAGAAGUGGCUGCUUUGCUUUCCCAGUGAGUACACAUGCUGCUUUUUUUUUGCUGGUCUUAUGCUGAAAAGCUGAGAUUUAUGUACUGUAUGAAAAAAAAAAACCCACAAAAAAACCCCACAACAGAAAAAAAGAAAAAAUCCUAAUGUUCCAAAAUAAAUCACAGUAUAUUUUGUACUUUGUAAAGUAAUUAAAAUGAAAAAAGAAUAAAAAGUGAAACGCUG